GGUAAUAUGAACCUGACGGCAGCCAUCUUGUUCCCUGCAGCCAUCUUGUGAUGAUUAGCAUCCAUUUUGUAAUGAUUAGACUUUUAUUAUAGUGGUUUAUUAUGUAGUAAGAGAUAUGCUGAUGUUAGGGAGACUUGCAUAGAUAUAAUAGCCCUGAGAAUGACCCUGAAGAUGUGCAUUGUUAUCUCUACAAGAUGUCAAACGGCUGUGAUUUGUGCUGGGCUAGGAGGCCCAGUUACUGUGUAUUCCUGUAGAAAUGACUCCCUAACACUCCUUUUAUUCCAAUUAUAUUUUCUAUGAGUUUCUUUGUUCUUAUAGAAAUACCAUGUGAAAUGAUGUAAUUAUGAAUACGUCACUUGUUAAACCUAUAUGCUGUAACUCUUAUUGUAAGAAUAUUAUAAUAUCUAGGGAGCAUAUAUAUACAUUGUAUCAUUUUUAUAUGUUAUGUUUAAUUGUAAUGUAUCUUAAUGUAUCUUUUCUGUAUCCCUUUAAUAUUCAAUUGUAGCUAGACACAUAGUGACCUUUAUACACACAUUUUAUAUGUACUUUUGAACCAUUGGGCUAUGUGUGAGAAAACACUGCUGAUGUAAGGAAUUUUAGUUAGGUCAAAGGUAGCUAUACAUCAGAUUGAAAUAUUUUGAGAUCCUACAUUACUCCUUUUUUCCUGUCAGUCAUAAAUUUACUUAAUAUCUUCAAGGAUAUCUGACAAAUGUGAUGUACAACUUACAGGAUGCCAGAUGUUUUUCCUCAUCGUAGAAAUGAGCUAAUGACUACAGAUUUCAAUGUAUUCUGAAAGGUAUAUAAGCUCGCUAUCCUGAACAAUAAAAUUAGAGCUGUUCAACAAACAUAUUCUUGUGUGUUCUCUGAAUGGCUCUCCAAGUACUUGAAAACACUUUGCAGGGUAGAUACCAGAGUCCUGAAGCAGAGGAGAACAAGAGGGUCCUGGUCCUAGAGGAGUCUCCUUACAAAUGGUGUCUAGAAGUGAUAGCUUGUCAAGGGACUCCCUGUGACUCGAGUGUUUGCUUGCCAUGGGUAUCCACUGGUUGCCUUGUCUACCCCAUGAACAAACCAUCAGAUUUCCAGUAUCUCCCUGCGGAAGAACCGUGGAUAAGCACCCCUACUGCAAAUGAACUGUUGGAGAACUGUGUUAUAGCAAAGUGUCAAGGUGCAGCGCUCUCAAAUGGACAAACACUGUUCUUAAAGUGAUCAGAGGCCACCUAGAGACAGUUGUGCUGUUGCUAUGUCAUGCUUUAAAAGGAACUGUUGGACAUAUUGGGGGUGCUAGCAAUGCAGGUGGAGAGAUAGACGAUGCAGCGUUGUUUGGGGGUAGAUGGGGGGCUGGUUGGGUCUCUGUGCCGGUGGACCGGUAGUUUUGGGAAGGCUGGAAGAUAGAUGGAAGGUAUUGGAGGGACUGUACCGAUAUGCAGUGACAAUUAGCCUAUAAAAGUAUAUCAUAAUAUAAGGUUUUACUACUUUUCUAUGUUAGUCUAUUUUUAUGUUAUUCUGUUAGAAUAAAAGGAUGGUAUGUUAGGGGUAAUAUGAACCUGACGGCAGCCAUCUUGUUCCCUGCAGCCAUCUUGUGAUGAUUAGCAUCCAUUUUGUAAUGAUUAGACUUUUAUUAUAGUGGUUUAUUAUGUAGUAAGAGAUAUGCUGAUGUUAGGGAGACUUGCAUAGAUAUAAUAGCCCUGAGAAUGACCCUGAAGAUGUGCAUUGUUAUCUCUACAAGAUGUCAAAUGGCUGUGAUUUGUGCUGGGCUAGGAGGCCCAGUUACUGUGUAUUCCUGUAGAAAUGACUCCCUAACACUCCUUUUAUUCCAAUUAUAUUUUCUAUGAGUUUCUUUGUUCUUAUAGAAAUACCAUGUGAAAUGAUGUAAUUAUGAAUACGUCACUUGUUAAACCUAUAUGCUGUAACUCUUAUUGUAAGAAUAUUAUAAUAUCUAGGGAGCAUAUAUAUACAUUGUAUCAUUUUUAUAUGUUAUGUUUAAUUGUAAUGUAUCUUAAUGUAUCUUUUCUGUAUCCCUUUAAUAUUCAAUUGUAGCUAGACACAUAGUGACCUUUAUACACACAUUUUAUAUGUACUUUUGAACCAUUGGGCUAUGUGUGAGAAAACACUGCUGAUGUAAGGAAUUUUAGUUAGGUCAAAGGUAGCUAUACAUCAGAUUGAAAUAUUUUGAGAUCCUACAUUACUCCUUUUUUCCUGUCAGUCAUAAAUUUACUUAAUAUCUUCAAGGAUAUCUGACAAAUGUGAUGUACAACUUACAGGAUGCCAGAUGUUUUUCCUCAUCGUAGAAAUGAGCUAAUGACUACAGAUUUCAAUGUAUUCUGAAAGGUAUAUAAGCUCGCUAUCCUGAACAAUAAAAUUAGAGCUGUUCAACAAACAUAUUCUUGUGUGUUCUCUGAAUGGCUCUCCAAGUACUUGAAAACACUUUGCAGGGUAGAUACCAGAGUCCUGAAGCAGAGGAGAACAAGAGGGUCCUGGUCCUAGAGGAGUCUCCUUACAAAUGGUGUCUAGAAGUGAUAGCUUGUCAAGGGACUCCCUGUGACUCGAGUGUUUGCUUGCCAUGGGUAUCCACUGGUUGCCUUGUCUACCCCAUGAACAAACCAUCAGAUUUCCAGUAUCUCCCUGCGGAAGAACCGUGGAUAAGCACCCCUACUGCAAAUGAACUGUUGGAGAACUGUGUUAUAGCAAAGUGUCAAGGUGCAGCGCUCUCAAAUGGACAAACACUGUUCUUAAAGUGAUCAGAGGCCACCUAGAGACAGUUGUGCUGUUGCUAUGUCAUGCUUUAAAAGGAACUGUUGGACAUAUUGGGGGUGCUAGCAAUGCAGGUGGAGAGAUAGACGAUGCAGCGUUGUUUGGGGGUAGAUGGGGGGCUGGUUGGGUCUCUGUGCCGGUGGACCGGUAGUUUUGGGAAGGCUGGAAGAUAGAUGGAAGGUAUUGGAGGGACUGUACCGAUAUGCAGUGACAAUUAGCCUAUAAAAGUAUAUCAUAAUAUAAGGUUUUACUACUUUUCUAUGUUAGUCUAUUUUUAUGUUAUUCUGUUAGAAUAAAAGGAUGGUAUGUUAGGGGUAAUAUGAACCUGACGGCAGCCAUCUUGUUCCCUGCAGCCAUCUUGUGAUGAUUAGCAUCCAUUUUGUAAUGAUUAGACUUUUAUUAUAGUGGUUUAUUAUGUAGUAAGAGAUAUGCUGAUGUUAGGGAGACUUGCAUAGAUAUAAUAGCCCUGAGAAUGACCCUGAAGAUGUGCAUUGUUAUCUCUACAAGAUGUCAAAUGGCUGUGAUUUGUGCUGGGCUAGGAGGCCCAGUUACUGUGUAUUCCUGUAGAAAUGACUCCCUAACACUCCUUUUAUUCCAAUUAUAUUUUCUAUGAGUUUCUUUGUUCUUAUAGAAAUACCAUGUGAAAUGAUGUAAUUAUGAAUACGUCACUUGUUAAACCUAUAUGCUGUAACUCUUAUUGUAAGAAUAUUAUAAUAUCUAGGGAGCAUAUAUAUACAUUGUAUCAUUUUUAUAUGUUAUGUUUAAUUGUAAUGUAUCUUAAUGUAUCUUUUCUGUAUCCCUUUAAUAUUCAAUUGUAGCUAGACACAUAGUGACCUUUAUACACACAUUUUAUAUGUACUUUUGAACCAUUGGGCUAUGUGUGAGAAAACACUGCUGAUGUAAGGAAUUUUAGUUAGGUCAAAGGUAGCUAUACAUCAGAUUGAAAUAUUUUGAGAUCCUACAUUACUCCUUUUUUCCUGUCAGUCAUAAAUUUACUUAAUAUCUUCAAGGAUAUCUGACAAAUGUGAUGUACAACUUACAGGAUGCCAGAUGUUUUUCCUCAUCGUAGAAAUGAGCUAAUGACUACAGAUUUCAAUGUAUUCUGAAAGGUAUAUAAGCUCGCUAUCCUGAACAAUAAAAUUAGAGCUGUUCAACAAA